rnacentral:lncRNA from 1 species
ACUGGCUAAAUCUUUCUUUACUAUCCUUUUGAACGCUUCUAAUAAAUAAAGAAGGGUAGCCUGCAUGACAAUAAUUCCAACAAAUAUAAUCUGAAAUACCAAGCAUUAAAUUGCCUGCAACUUUAUUAUCUUUGGUUACAAGAAAAUGAGGGAAAAUGACAUGGUAAAAAUGUCAGAUUCUUUGGGAAUCAGAAUUCAAAGAUCUUUGAACGUUCACUACCCCAAAUUAC